rnacentral:rRNA from 1 species
GCGCAGGAAAAGAAACCAACAGGGAUUGCCCCAGUAACGGCGAGUGAAGCGGCAACAGCUCAAAUUUGAAAUCUGGCUUCGGCCCGAGUUGUAAUUUGCAGAGGAAGCUUUAGGCGCGGCACCAUCUGAGUCCCCUGGAACGGGGCGCCAAAGAGGGUGAGAGCCCCGUAUAGAUGGACGCCUAGCCUGUGUAAAGCUCCUUCGACGAGUCGAGUAGUUUGGGAAUGCUGCUCAAAAUGGGAGGUAAAUUUCUUCUAAAGCUAAAUAUUGGCCAGAGGCCGAUAGCGCACAAGUAGAGUGAUCGAAAGAUGAAAAGCACUUUGAAAAGAGGGUUAAAUAGCACGUGAAAUUGUUGAAAGGGAAGCGCUUGUGACCAGACUUGCGCCGGGCGGAUCAUCCGGUGUUCUCACCGGUGCACUCCGCCCGGCUCAGGCCAGCAUCGGUUCUCGUGGGGGGAUAAAGGCGCCGGGAACGUAUCUCCUCCGGGAGUGUUAUAGCCCGGGGCGUUAAGCGCGCUCGGGGACCCAGUGAACCGCGUUUUGCACCGAGUUGUGGCGCACAAGGGUCCAGGGGGACUCAGGAUCGUGAACGCGCGCCACAGGGUACCUCAGGGAUUUGUACCGCGUCGGGUUCGGAAGUCAAAAACUUCGAUAUUUUGAAGCUGAUUGUCGAACUUCACGUCGACAGUUUAUCUGGCGGCAAUCCCCCUGGCUGGAUUCUCGAUUGUCCUUGCCGCUUGGAAUCUUUCGAAAAUGGGAUCCCACCGGGGUUACCGCAAUGCCUACGAAUUUGGGUUAAAUCGCAUCGGUUCCGAUUAGUUCAGAUUUGCCCCUGGGGGGCCGGGAAAUUAGAUUCACCCCUCGGCCUCGCAUUCGGGUAUAAUGGAAGGUUGAGGGGUACGGUGACCGAAUGGCUUAUUCCCGUAUCCGACAUAAC